AAUUACUGGGCGUAAAAGCGUCAUGCAGGUGGUUUGUUAAGUCAGAUGUGAAAGCCCGGGGCUCAACUCGGAAUAGCAUUUGAAACUGGCAGACUAGAGUAACUGUAGAGGGGGUAGAAUUUCAGGUGUAGCGGUGAAAAUGCGUAGUAGAUCUGAAGGAAUACCGGUGGCGAAGGCGGCCCCCUGGACAGAUACUGACACUCAGAUGCGAAAGCGUGGGGAGUCAAACAGGAUUAGAUACCCCUGGUAG
rnacentral:rRNA from 1 species